CCGACCUUAGCUCAGUUGGUAGAGCGGGAGACUGUAGUUGUCAAGCUGUCAUCUCUAGGUCGCUGGUUCGAAUCCGGCAGGUCGGA
rnacentral:tRNA from 1 species